CCAUGGUGUUGCAAUCAAAGGGGUGCGGCUACAAAGGCUGACGGGAAGGAUCAGGCGUGCCUCAGCAAAAUGGCGCCGGCCAGAUUCCGGAGGAUUGACGUGCUGUAGGACCCCGGGGACUGUGCGUUUAUUCAGCCGUGUGCCGAUACAUGGAAGAUGGUGUCUGCUCAGCGGUGGAAGCAAGUUGAACACUGAAGACUUUUAGUUCUGACAUGAUGAUGUACCUUCUUAACAAAGGAGUUGAAUGCAAACCUAGGCAUAUUUAUAAUUUAUUGUAAUUUGAGAAUAUCAUGGUAUUUUAUCCAGAGUUUUAGAUUUUCAAUGCAAUGAUUUGUAAAGUUGUUUCAUAUACAGUGUACAUGUCCUUAUUGUAUAUUGUAAAUGGGUAAUGUUCGCAGUGUUUUUGUGUUUUUUUGCAGUAAUGAAGUACGUGUAACUGCAGGCUUGAAGUGAUUGCAAAUAUUUGGCCUUUAACAGAAAAACCCUGCAUGGCAGUUUCAACCGUGAACUUAAAACUACUACCAACACUCCAUUUUCUCCCUUUUACAGAAGUACAUGUUUUAAAAUAAUCCCUUUUUAAGUUUUAUAAUUGUUGAUUUCAGAACUAACUCUAAGAUGUUACAUAUUUUUUAUCAAUGCUAUUUAUUUAUUCUUAUAUAUAGUACAAUGAAGCACUACUUUGCCAGUGUUUUGAAAGUUAUCAAAUUGAAAGUCAUUGAUAUUUUGUGUUUGUUGGUUUUAACAUUUGCAAUGAUGUAUUGAAACAGUAUUGCUAUCUUUGGCAUUAGGAAUUCUAUUCAUGAGCAUUUCCUGUAAUAGAAUGUUGUUUCAUUGAGUAAAACAAUGCUGGGUUAUGUAUGAAAUAUAGACCAACUUUACACAGUGUAAUGUAACAUUGAUAGAAUGUAUGAAAUCAUAUAUUUUCCACAUAGCUGUUGGUACUUUGCUAUCAUAGUGCUUGUGUGAACUUGUAACAGCUACAUGUAUGUCCAAUAAGAAAUAACCAGCUUUCGGCAAUUUUUUCAUGUGUUUAUCUUAUUGCAGAUUAAAAAGUGAACCAAAACAAAAGUCUGUAUCUGAUUUGCAUCUUGUUUUGCACUGAUUAUGGUGAUGCAACAGUAAUAGAAAUGCUUUGAAGAUACUUGUAAAUGUUGAUACCAAAUUUGUCCAGCUUAAAAACAAACCUUAGCCAAAUCCUAACCCUAGCCUUAGUAGCAAUAAAGGAAUCCAAUAA